rnacentral:rRNA from 1 species
UGGGGAAUAUUGCACAAUGGGGGAAACCCUGAUGCAGCAACGCCGCGUGAGUGAGAAGUAUUUCGGUAUGUAAAGCUCUAUCAGCAGGGAAUAGAAAAGAAGGUACCUGAAAAAGAAGCCCCGGCUAACUACGUGCC